UACGAAGGGGGGCUAGCGUUGCUCGGAAUCACUGGGCGUAAAGGGUGCGUAGGCGGGUCUUUAAGUCAGGGGUGAAAUCCUGGAGCUCAACUCCAGAACUGCCUUUGAUACUGAAGAUCUUGAGUUCGGGAGAGGUGAGUGGAACUGCGAGUGUAGAGGUGAAAUUCGUAGAUAUUCGCAAGAACACCAGUGGCGAAGGCGGCUCACUGGCCCGAUACUGACGCUGAUGCACGAAAGCGUGGGGGAGCAAACAGG
rnacentral:rRNA from 1 species